rnacentral:rRNA from 1 species
UACAGAGGUCUCAAGCGUUGUUCGGAUUCAUUGGGCGUAAAGGGUGCGUAGGCGGCGCGGUAAGUCGGGUGUGAAAUCUCGGAGCUUAACUCCGAAACUGCAUUUGAUACUGGCGUGCUUGAGGACUGGAGAGGAGACUGGAAUUCAUGGUGUAGCAGUGAAAUGCGUAGAGAUCAUGAGGAAGACCAGUGGCGAAGGCGGGUCUCUGGACAGUUCCUGACACUGAGGCACGAAGGCCCAGGGGGAGCAAAACGG